CAACUCCGUGGCACGUGGUGACUUUCUGCUGCAUUGUACCCAGAUUUUGCUUGGAAAUGGACCACAUCUCCAGAGAAUCAAAGGAGGCAAAUGUAGCAUGGAUCCUGAAAGCUGAUGAUGAGCACACAGAAUCCAAACCUGACUCACAAAAAGAACAAGACGGGUUUUAUUACAAAUGGAAAUAACAGGAUAACUCCAAACAAACAAGGAAGCUCGGCGGGAAGAGAUGAGAUUUGGAGAUGGGGAAUGGAUACUUUCAGGAGUUCAUACAUCCACGUGGGAGCAGCGCGCAGGGCAACAGAGGGUGCCAUUGUGCCAUUGUGCUCCUCCUGCAGG
rnacentral:lncRNA from 1 species